rnacentral:rRNA from 1 species
CCUACGGGGCGCAGCAGUGGGGAAUCUUCCGCAAUGGGCGCAAGCCUGACGGAGCAAUGCCGCGUGAACGAAGAAGGUCUUCGGAUUGUAAAGUUCUGUCCUUAUCGAAGAGAGAGUAUAGAGUGAAAAAUGAUAUACUAGGACGGUAGAUGAGGAGGAAGCCCCGGCUAACUACGUGCCAGCAGCCGCGGUAAUACGGAGGAUGCGAGCGUUAUCCGGAUUUAUUGGGUUUAAAGGGUGCGUAGGCGGAUUUUUAAGUCAGCGGUAAAAUGUCCGGGCUCAACCCGGGCCGGCCGUUGAAACUGGGGAUCUUGAGUGGGCGAGAAGUAUGCGGAAUGCGUGGUGUAGCGGUGAAAUGCAUAGAUAUCACGCAGAACUCCGAUUGCGAAGGCAGCAUACCGGCGCCCGACUGACGCUGAGGCACGAAAGCGUGGGGAUCGAACAGGAUUAGAUACCCUUGUAGUC